ACUGACACACGGGGCAGGUAGGCUGACACCACGGUAAGCCCGCCUGUUUCCAAGGCGGCGCGUCGUGUCACCGAAUACUGUGCGCCAGCGGCGUACAGUCCCGUUACAGCGCUGCGCGCGGCGCCAGGUGAUGGCCUCUAAGAGGAGAGCCGAGGCGUGCGCUGCCACAGUGCACUCGGACGCAACGGCGCAGCGGGUUAGCGCUGCUCCUUCGCCUGACAGGUUCUCACUCAACAGUGGUAGCACGGCUUCACUGUUGAGUGAGACUGACAGCGGUCACUGUGCCUGCAAGGCAGCACACGACCGUAUCCAAGCUGUGGAUACGCACGUUAUCUUCCCAACCGUGAAGACUACAGCGAGGAGCUGGAGAGGGAGAUCUCCAUAUCACAUAGAGCGGGCUCCUCUUGGCCGGACCCCCACCUGUCGGGGCCCCGCACAGCGAGGAGCUGGAGAGUGCACUCGUUAGAAGACAAGUUCACGUCAAACUCACAUAGCCAAUACAACACUAAAGUGGACGUAGAGUAUUACUCUCCGGCGGCCGGAACCACUCUAAAUUCCCCGCGUCUUUCCUGCGUUCAUCCACGCAUCGAUCGAGCGCUCCUAAGUCUCCUCCAAACCCAUCCUUAACUAGGAUUAGGCGGGUGCAUUCCGCCACCUGGCUGGAGAUUUCCUCCGACAGUAUUUCACAAUCUCUCUUUAGUAUUUUGAAACGACCUGCAUGUCUAUAUGAUCAAAGGGAUCUUGAGAAUAUCAUACUAGCUUGUAUCAUUCUUCACAACAUGGUAAUUGAAACGUCUAUAUGAUCAAAGGGAUCUUGAGAAUAUCAUACUAGCUUGUAUCAUUCUUCACAACAUGGUAAUUGAAAAUGAGAAAGGUUUGAAGUCAAUUCCUCUUGAUUUGAAUGAGACACCAAGCACAUCAACUGUGCAAGAAGCAACAAUCUCUCAAGGACCUAACCCAGAAAUGGAAGAAGUGAUACAAAGAAAUGCUACUAUUCGUGAUCGUGCUGCUCAUAGACAACUUCAAUCAGACUUGAUUGAACAUAUCUGGCAGAAGUUUGGGAAUUAAAAUUUAUUAGAUCAGGUCGUGCCAAUUUGGUGUUGCUGUCAACCUGGAGAACUGCUCGUGUCUACUGAAAUUCUACCUUCUGAUGUCAUCAGACUACCUAAAUUAUCCUAGCAUGUAGUGUCAUAUUAUCUGUUAUUUUGGUGUCAUGCAUGUGGCCAACUUGUGGCUUCAUGUGUUUAGUCUGGUGCUGCAAGUGCUGCUAUAUGAGUUGCUCACGAGAGAUUACAAGUUUGAGUCCUGCCAUUUUGGCUACCAGUUUGAGUUGUGACAUUGUGGCUGUCAGGUUAUUUUAUUAUCAAAAUGGAUGCCUAUUUAUCUUUAAGUUUA